AGGGGGGCAGUUUGGCUGGGGGGGGCCCCCCCCAAAAGGAACGGAGGCGCCAAAGGGUUCCUCAAUCGGUCAGACAUCCAUCAUUGAUGUAAGGCUAAGGAAGCUUGACUGUGAGACUUACAAGUCGAACAGAGACGAAAGUCGGCUUAGUGAUCUGGCGAUUUGAGUGGAAAGUCGUCACUCAACGGAUAAAAGUUACUCUAGGGAUAACAGGCUG
rnacentral:rRNA from 1 species